rnacentral:rRNA from 1 species
AGAGUUUGAUCAUGGCUCAGAUUGAACGCUGGCGGCAGGCCUAACACAUGCAAGUCGAGCGGUAGCACAGAGAGCUUGCUCUCGGGUGACGAGCGGCGGACGGGUGAGUAAUGUCUGGGAAACUGCCUGAUGGAGGGGGAUAACUACUGGAAACGGUAGCUAAUACCGCAUAAUGUCGCAAGACCAAAGUGGGGGACCUUCGGGCCUCAUGCCAUCAGAUGUGCCCAGAUGGGAUUAGCUUGUAGGUGGGGUAACGGCUCACCUAGGCGACGAUCCCUAGCUGGUCUGAGAGGAUGACCAGCCACACUGGAACUGAGACACGGUCCAGACUCCUACGGGAGGCAGCAGUGGGGAAUAUUGCACAAUGGGCGCAAGCCUGAUGCAGCCAUGCCGCGUGUGUGAAGAAGGCCUUCGGGUUGUAAAGCACUUUCAGCGGGGAGGAAGGCGUUAAGGUUAAUAACCUUGGCGAUUGACGUUACCCGCAGAAGAAGCACCGGCUAACUCCGUGCCAGCAGCCGCGGUAAUACGGAGGGUGCAAGCGUUAAUCGGAAUUACUGGGCGUAAAGCGCACGCAGGCGGUCUGUCAAGUCGGAUGUGAAAUCCCCGGGCUCAACCUGGGAACUGCAUUCGAAACUGGCAGGCUAGAGUCUUGUAGAGGGGGGUAGAAUUCCAGGUGUAGCGGUGAAAUGCGUAGAGAUCUGGAGGAAUACCGGUGGCGAAGGCGGCCCCCUGGACAAAGACUGACGCUCAGGUGCGAAAGCGUGGGGAGCAAACAGGAUUAGAUACCCUGGUAGUCCACGCCGUAAACGAUGUCGAUUUGGAGGUUGUGCCCUUGAGGCGUGGCUUCCGGAGCUAACGCGUUAAAUCGACCGCCUGGGGAGUACGGCCGCAAGGUUAAAACUCAAAUGAAUUGACGGGGGCCCGCACAAGCGGUGGAGCAUGUGGUUUAAUUCGAUGCAACGCGAAGAACCUUACCUGGUCUUGACAUCCACAGAACUUUCCAGAGAUGGAUUGGUGCCUUCGGGAACUGUGAGACAGGUGCUGCAUGGCUGUCGUCAGCUCGUGUUGUGAAAUGUUGGGUUAAGUCCCGCAACGAGCGCAACCCUUAUCCUUUGUUGCCAGCGGUCCGGCCGGGAACUCAAAGGAGACUGCCAGUGAUAAACUGGAGGAAGGUGGGGAUGACGUCAAGUCAUCAUGGCCCUUACGACCAGGGCUACACACGUGCUACAAUGGCAUAUACAAAGAGAAGCGACCUCGCGAGAGCAAGCGGACCUCAUAA